rnacentral:rRNA from 1 species
UGGGGAAUAUUGGACAAUGGGCGGAAGCCUGAUCCAGCAACGCCGCGUGAGGGAUGACGGCCUUCGGGUUGUAAACCUCUUUCAGUACCGACGAAGCGAAAGUGACGGUAGGUACAGAAGAAGGACCGGCCAACUACGUGCCAGCAGCCGCGGUAAUACGUAGGGUCCGAGCGUUGUCCGGAAUUAUUGGGCGUAAAGGGCUCGUAGGCGGUUUGUCGCGUCGGGAGUGAAAACAGCGGGCUUAACUCGUUGCUUGCUUUCGAUACGGGGCAGACUAGAGGUAUGCAGGGGAGAAUGGAAUUCCUGGUGUAGCGGUGAAAUGCGCAGAUAUCAGGAGGAACACCGGUGGCGAAGGCGGUUCUCUGGGCAUUACCUGACGCUGAGGAGCGAAAGUGUGGGGAGCGAACAGGAUUAGAUACCCUGGUAGUCCACACCGUAAACGUUGGGCGCUAGGUGUGGGGUCCUUUCCACGGAUUCCGUGCCGUAGCUAACGCAUUAAGCGCCCCGCCUGGGGAGUACAGCCGC